rnacentral:tRNA from 1 species
ACCUGGGUGGCUUAGUCGGUUAAGCGUCUGACUUCAGCUCAGGUCAUGAUCUUGCCUUCAUGGGUUCAAGCCCCCUAUCAGGCU